GCCGUAGUGGUGUAAUGGCAACAUACGGGUCUGUGGAGCCCUUGUUCCGAGUUCGAAUCUCGGCUACGGCC
rnacentral:tRNA from 1 species